CACGACGUGAAAAGAUUCUACUAUCAGCUGUAAACCUACUACAAGAUGAACGCCAACUUUUUCCUCGCUGUUGCCUUGGUCUGCCUGGCAGUCUCCACCACCACUGCAACGCCCCAAAAGAGGGCAACGUGCACGUUUGGGGGAGACGCUGCGUGUGAGGCCCAUUGUUACCUUCUGAACAGACAGGGAGGCUGGUGUGACAGUCAUAAUGUCUGCAACUGCAGAUCGGAGACUAUCAUAGGUUGAUCUCC